rnacentral:tRNA from 1 species
GUUCAGUUAGUUUAACAUAAAAUAUGGUUUUUGUAAUACCAAGUAACCUAACAGGGUAUUGAGCU